CAAGUUUGCUCAUAUUCAUUGUGUUGUUUGUUUUGUUCACUUCUAAUCUUCCUUUGGUCACACUAGAAGCAGAGGAAAUACGAGGCAGAGAUAAGAAAAAAAAAGGCAGCUGACAUCCUGCAGAAAGAAAGUUCUGGAAAUCUCUGCUCUCCUGCACACAAAUCUGAGGCAGAGCAGCUGUUCCAAUCCUAACCUUUAGACUUUUCUGUGAGCGAAGAGCUAGCUUUGAUCUCUCAUCAAUAAACAAAUAAAAGAAAGGCUGUUUCACUGGAUAGAAGCAAUUCUGUAUCCAGAUACCACCCAUCCCUCAUUCAUUGUGAUGCAGAAAACCUUGAAAGCAUGAACUCUGAAGAUUCAAAAUCCAAAGACAAAUUACCAGCACCCCAUUUUUUUAUAUUUAGAUCAGAUGAAUUGGAAUCACUCAUUUUUGGGCACCUGACUUGUAUUUUUUGAGCCUUUAGGAUUGGCGAUUUUUGAAUAAAUUAUGAAA